rnacentral:rRNA from 1 species
UGGGGAAUAUUGCACAAUGGGCGAAAGCCUGAUGCAGCAACGCCGCGUGAGCGAUGAAGGCCUUUGGGUCGUAAAGCUCUGUCCUCGGGGAAGAAUAAAUGACGGUACCCUUGGAGGAAGCCCCGGCUAACUACGUGCCAGCAGCCGCGGUAAUACGUAGGGGGCAAGCGUUAUCCGGAAUUAUUGGGCGUAAAGAGUGCGUAGGUGGUUUUGUAAGCGCGGGGUGAAAGGCAAUGGCUCAACUAUUGUAAGCCCUGUGAACUGCAAGACCUGAGUGCAGGAGAGGAAAGUGGAAUUCCUAGUGUAGCGGUGAAAUGCGUAGAUAUUAGGAGGAACACCAGUGGCGAAGGCGACUUUCUGGACUGUAACUGACACUGAGGCACGAAAGCGUGGGGAGCAAACA